rnacentral:rRNA from 1 species
CCUAUGGGAUGCAGCAGUCGAGAAUUUUUCACAAUGGGCGAAAGCCUGAUGGAGCGACGCCGCGUGGGGGAUGAAGGGCUUCGGUCCGUAAACCCCUGUCAUUUGCGAACAAACCUUUCCACCUAACACGUGGAGAGCUGAUUGUAGCGAAAGAGGAAGGGACGGCUAACUCUGUGCCAGCAGCCGCGGUAAUACAGAGGUCCCAAGCGUUGUUCGGAUUUACUGGGCGUAAAGGGUGCGUAGGUGGCGAGGUAAGUUCGAUGUGAAAUCUCCGAGCUCAACUCGGAAAUGGCAUUGAAUACUAUCCCGCUUGAGGGUCGGAGGGGAGACUGGAAUUCUCGGUGUAGCAGUGAAAUGCGUAGAUAUCGAGAGGAACACCAGUGGCGAAGGCGAGUCUCUGGACGACUCCUGACACUGAGGCACGAAAGCUGGGGGAGCAAACAGGAUUAGAUACCCGGGUAGUCC